GACGAACGCUGGCGGCGUGCCUAAUACAUGCAAGUUGAGCGAUGAAGAUUGGUGCUUGCCCCAAUUUGAAGAGCAGCGAACGGGUGAGUAACGCGUGGGGAAUCUGCCUUUGAGCGGGGGACAACAUUUGGAAACGAAUGCUAAUACCGCAUAACAACUUUAAACAUAAGUUUUAAGUUUGAAAGAUGCAAUUGCAUCACUCAAAGAUGAUCCCGCGUUGUAUUAGCUAGUUGGUGAGGUAAAGGCUCACCAAGGCGAUGAUACAUAGCCGACCUGAGAGGGUGAUCGGCCACAUUGGGACUGAGACACGGCCCAAACUCCUACGGGAGGCAGCAGUAGGGAAUCUUCGGCAAUGGACGAAAGUCUGACCGAGCAACGCCGCGGGAGUGAAGAAGGGUUUCGGAUCGUAAAACUCGGUUGGUAGAGAAGAACGUUGGUGAGAGUGGAAAGCUCAUCAAGUGACGGUAACUACCCAGAAAGGGACGGCUAACUACGUG
rnacentral:rRNA from 1 species